CGGGACCCGCUGCUGCCGGGGCCGGCUCCCUCGCUCAGCACGAACAGCUCGUAUUAGAGGAUGCAAGGGGGCUGCGAAGGGUCUGGAGGGGCCAUAGGAGGAACGGCUGAGGCACUCGGUUUUUCAGCCUGGAGGAGAGUGAGGCAGAGCUCACCUCUCUCCCUCGGGAGGGGCAGCUCCGAUCUCUGCUCUGUGUCACCCUUGGGAGCCGCUGGAGCUGGCUCAGGGGAGGCUUGGGAUGGAAACUGGGAAAAGGUUAAAGCGGUCACAGCACCGAGCCUGACAGAGCUCAAGAUGUAUUUGGACAACAGUGGAGUCUCCUGUGCAGAGCCUGUUGGACUUCCAUCAUCAUAGAAGUUCUUCGGGAUGAGGAAAUUUUGACGUGGACACUGUGCAGAAGGCCCCCUAAACCAUCUGAAUUGGGCAUUGUUCCGGGUUUUUUUCAUUGCUGACUUUUGUGCACUUUCCCAGUUUCCAACACGAGGCCUUGGUUUAUUUCUGUUCAGAAAAAAAUAAAUAAAUCAGUAAAAAUUC